UACUUCACAGUUACACAUUUAUCACAUCAGAGAAAAUAGAAGAGAGAGAGAGGGAGAAGGCCGGUGGAGAUAAGUCAAGAGAGCUACUGUAGCCACUCCAAAAAAAAAUUUUGGAAAAAUCUGAGGGCCUAUACCACCGUCAGACCAGUUUUCCUCCGAAAACAUUACCGAAUUUCAGUUUCAGGGUCAUCAAAGCUGUUAGCUAAUAUUCUGUACUCAUGGGUCUAUCUGUUGGGAACUUAAUUGCUAGAUGGGAUGAAAUGGGACUUCCAAUCUAUCCAAUUUUGGGGAUGUUUGGAGCAGACAGAUUUGAUGCUAUUCUUCUUCCAGGCUAGAUGAGUGAUCAAUAAUAAUAGGUUUGACUUGCCUGCAUAGACCAUCAUCCUAGAGAUUGAGAAAGAUCUGCAUUUACUGAAGUUGAGAACUGCCAUUGAUCUGUAAAGGAACUACAAGAAGGGGGAUUCAAAAUCCAAAACUUUGCCCAUGUAUUUCCAGAUCGGGAUGGUGAUAGAGUCAGCAUCAGACUUCUUCACAAGUAGACUAACAAAGAAGGAGAGAAAGGGAACAAUUGGAUCUGAGGUGUUAUCUGAUCUCUCCCUUCCUGACUACAGCUCUCUCAGCUUACGGUGGCUCUUUCUUUCUCUCAUGACUUCUUCACUCUUGGACUAUCUUUCACUCUUCUCCCACACGCCUAGCAUUCUCUCACAAAGCCCCAACCAAAAUGACAACUUCGAGGCAUCUUGCGGAUGGGAAGGUGGAGAGGUUCGAUAAGAACAUUAUGAAGAGAGGAGCUGUGCCUGAAACAACCGCAAAGAAGGGAAAAGACUACCCCGUUGGUCCUGUUCUUCACUGUGACAGUGGCAAUUCAAAAAUUGGCUGUAUUGCCAAUGCUCACAAUCUCUUGAGCUUGCCUUCAUUAUUGCUGAGCGCCUAAGAAGGAGGAGGAUUACAUCACAGCAAGCUCUUGCCCUCUAGGCUUCUACAGUGAGGCUUUAAGAGCCCACCAAUGUGCUCUUUUUCUUAUGUUAAUAGCAGUUAUAUUAGCAUUAGCACUAUCGGAUUUUCAGUUAUUUAUGUUCUGUAUUGUGUGUAUACUAACAGGAAGAGUGGUGGUUUGAGACACUAUGAAAACACACUGGAAGAAAUAGAUAACAAUUUAUUUAUUCCA